AGUGAACGCUGGCGGUAGGCCUAACACAUGCAAGUCGAACGGCAGCACAGUAAGAUCUUGCUCUUACGGGUGGCGAGUGGCGGACGGGUGAGGAAUACAUCGGAAUCUACUUUUUCGUGGGGGAUAACGUAGGGAAACUUACGCUAAUACCGCAUACGACCUACGGGUGAAAGCAGGGGAUCUUCGGACCUUGCGCGAUUGAAUGAGCCGAUGUCGGAUUAGCUAGUUGGCGGGGUAAAGGCCCACCAAGGCGACGAUCCGUAGCUGGUCUGAGAGGAUGAUCAGCCACACUGGAACUGAGACACGGUCCAGACUCCUACGGGAGGCAGCAGUGGGGAAUAUUGGACAAUGGGCGAAAGCCUGAUCCAGCCAUACCGCGUGGGUGAAGAAGGCCUUCGGGUUGUAAAGCCCUUUUGUUGGGAAAGAAAAGCAGCAGGUUAAUACCCCGCUGUUCUGACGGUACCCAAAGAAAAAGCACCGGCUAACUUCGUG
rnacentral:rRNA from 1 species